AAUCUUGCGCAAUGGUUGAAAGCCAGACGCAGCCAUGCCUCGUGAAUGAUUAUUGUCUUAGGUUUGUAAAUUUCUUUCACCGGGGACGAAAAUGACGGUACCCGGAGAAGAAGACCCUGCUUAAUUCGUGCCAGCAGCCGCGGUAAUACGAAGGGGGCUAGCGUUGCUCGGAAUUACUGGGCAUAAAGGGCGCGUAGGCGGACAUUUAAGUCAGGAGUGAAACCCCAGAACUCAACUCUGGAACUGCCUUUGAUACUGAGUGUCUUGAGUGUGAGAGAGGCAUGUGGAACUCCGAGUGUAGAGGUGAAAUUCGUAGAUAUUCGGAAGAACACCAGUGGCGAAGGCGACAUACUGGCUCAUUACUGACGCUGAGGCGCGAAAGCGUGGGGAGCAAACA
rnacentral:rRNA from 1 species